ACGGGGCGCAGCAGGCGCGAAACCUUUACACUGCACGCCAGUGCGAUAAGGGGAUCCCGAGUGCACAGGCAUAGAGCCUGUGCUUUUCUGAACCGUAGGGAGGUUCAGGAACAAGAGCUGGGCAAGACCGGUGCCAGCCGCCGCGGUAAUACCGGCAGCUCGAGUGAUGGCCGAUCUUAUUGGGCCUAAAGCGUCCGCAGCUGGCCUUGCAAGUCCGUCGGGAAAUCCACCCGCUCAACGGGUGGGCGUCCGGCGGAAACUGUGAGGCUUGGGACCGGGAGGCUUGAAGGGUACGUCCGGGGUAGGAGUGAAAUCCUGUAAUCCUGGACGGACCGCCGAUGGGGAAACCACUUCAAGAGAACGGAUCCGACAGUGAGGGACGAAAGCUAGGGUCUCGAACCGGAUUAGAUACCCCCGUAGUCC
rnacentral:rRNA from 1 species